AUACUUACCUGGCAGGGGAGAUACCAUGAUCACGAAGGUGGUUUUCCCAGGGCGAGGCUCACCCAUUGCACUCCGGGUGUGCUGACCCCUGCGAUUUCCCCAAAUGUGGGAAACUCGACUGCAUAAUUUGUGGUAGUGGGGGACUGCGUUCGCGCUUUCCCCUG
ensembl:snRNA U1 U1 spliceosomal RNA